CCCCCCCAUCACUGCUCCCCGCCCCCACAAAGCACAAUCCCCCGGUGAUCACCGUUAAGUUAUUUGGGAGAAGGGGAAUUAAUUGCGUUAAUCACGUCGCAACGAUCAGGGCCUGGUUCUGCUGCGGGGAGACGCUAGGAAUAAUAAUAAUUAAUAAUAAUGAACCACGGUGAAAACCCUUUUUUUUAUUAAAUCUUCCUCUAUGCAAACCCAUCCCCCCCAGCCCCCCCCCAACCCCCAGCUCAAGAAUCUGUAUUUAUUUUCGCAUCAGGUUUGAUUUGUAUAUUCGGGGAGGGGAUGCUGGGCCCUGUGUGGCCUCACGCCCCUCCCCUCCGGGUUGUGGAACGGAUUAUGGAACUUUAUUUUAUUUUUUGCCGGUUGGUUAAUAAAAUUCUCUAUCUUUGCGUCGGGCUCGGCGAGUUCGGGGAUGGGACCGGGCGGAAUGGGGCGCGGCGCCUUUAAAUCCCAUCGAGCUGUUGUUUACAGCGCCGCGCUGGUGAGGGGGUGGCGGUCGCCGAUUGGUUGCGAGGCAUGAAGUAGCGAGCCGGCUGAUUGGCUGCGACGAGGACAGCUAGCAAAACGGCUGGCGAUUGGUGGAGAGGGUGAGGAAAGGGGCGGGGCGAGUGCUGACUUCCGGCGUUUCCAUGGCGACGGCAGGCGGAAGCGGAAGUGGCGGUGCUGGGCGGGAGGCGACGCGGCUGUGUAUAAAGCGGCAGCGCUCGGUGGGCCGUCCGGUAUCGUCUUUAUUCUGUCGGCGAGACCAGGCCGCGCCCGGCAGAGCGGAGCGGGCGGUGAGGCGGAGCGAGGCCUCGGCGGCUCCCCGCGGCGUUCCUUCCGUCAGCACCGCGCUCCCCCCGCUCUGCUGCUCCCCGUGGGGACGCCGUGCUGCCUUUCUUCCUUCAGCACAGCACUGCCGAUCCGUUGCUCGCUCUUUGGGGCUUUUUGUUGAGCUCUCUAUUUUUCUGAAGCAAUACGUGCUGCUGGAGGAGCACCCAUCUGUCCCGGCAGCACAAAAAUUGAGGUUCUCCCCCUACAGUGGCACUUUGGGCCAGCGCUGUCCCCCACCCUUGGCACCACCGUCAUCCUUUUGCCACCCCCCCAUGGUGACCUGCGCCCCCCCC